rnacentral:rRNA from 1 species
CCUACGGGCGGCAGCAGUGGGGGAUAUUGCACAAUGGGGGGAACUCUGAUGCAGCGAUGCCGCGUGGGUGAAGAAGCGCCUCGGCGCGUAAAGCCCUGUCAGCAGGGAAGAAAACGACGGUACCUGAAGAAGAAGCCCCGGCUAACUACGUGCCAGCAGCCGCGGCAAUACGGAGGGGGCGAGCGUUAUCCGGAUUUACUGGGUGUAAAGGGGGCGCAGUCGGCGAUGCAAGCCAGGAGUGAAAGGCCGGGGCCCAACCCCGGGACUGCUCUUGAAACUGCGUGGCUGGAGAGCAGGAGGGGCAGGCGGAAUGUCUGGUGUAGCGGUGAAAUGCGUAGAGAUCAGAAGGAACACCGGUGGCGAAGGCAGCCUGCUAGACUGCAACUGACGUUGAGGCCCGAAAGCGUGGGGAGCAAACAGGAUUAGAUACCCGAGUAGUC